rnacentral:rRNA from 1 species
AGUGAACGCUGGCGGUAGGCCUAACACAUGCAAGUCGAACGGCAGCACAGUAAGAGCUUGCUCUUACGGGUGGCGAGUGGCGGACGGGUGAGGAAUACAUCGGAAUCUACUUUUUCGUGGGGGAUAACGUAGGGAAACUUACGCUAAUACCGCAUACGACCUACGGGUGAAAGCAGGGGAUCUUCGGACCUUGCGCGAUUGAAUGAGCCGAUGUCGGAUUAGCUAGUUGGCGGGGUAAAGGCCCACCAAGGCGACGAUCCGUAGCUGGUCUGAGAGGAUGAUCAGCCACACUGGAACUGAGACACGGUCCAGACUCCUACGGGAGGCAGCAGUGGGGAAUAUUGGACAAUGGGCGCAAGCCUGAUCCAGCCAUACCGCGUGGGUGAAGAAGGCCUUCGGGUUGUAAAACCCUUUUGUUGGGAAAGAAAAGCAGCAGGUUAAUACCCCGCUGUUCUGACGGGACCCAAAGAAUAAGCACCGGCUAACUUCG